rnacentral:rRNA from 1 species
UACGUAGGGUGCAAGCGUUGUCCGGAAUUAUUGGGCGUAAAGAGCUCGUAGGCGGUUUGUCGCGUCUGCUGUGAAAUCUGGGGGCUCAACCCCCAGCCUGCAGUGGGUACGGGCAGACUAGAGUGCGGUAGGGGAGAUUGGAAUUCCUGGUGUAGCGGUGAAAUGCGCAGAUAUCAGGAAGAACACCCGUGGCGAAGGCGGCUCUCUGGGACGUGACUGACGCUGAGACGCGAAAGCGUGGGGAGCGAACAGG